AGAGUUUGAUCCUGGCUCAGAUUGAACGCUGGCGGCAGGCCUAACACAUGCAAGUCGAGCGGUAGCACAGAGAGCUUGCUCUCGGGUGACGAGCGGCGGACGGGUGAGUAAUGUCUGGGAAACUGCCUGAUGGAGGGGGAUAACUACUGGAAACGGUAGCUAAUACCGCAUAAUGUCGCAAGACCAAAGUGGGGGACCUUCGGGCCUCAUGCCAUCAGAUGUGCCCAGAUGGGAUUAGCUAGUAGGUGGGGUAACGGCUCACCUAGGCGACGAUCCCUAGCUGGUCUGAGAGGAUGACCAGCCACACUGGAACUGAGACACGGUCCAGACUCCUACGGGAGGCAGCAGUGGGGAAUAUUGCACAAUGGGCGCAAGCCUGAUGCAGCCAUGCCGCGUGUGUGAAGAAGGCCUUCGGGUUGUAAAGCACUUUCAGCGGGGAGGAAGGCGUUAAGGUUAAUAACCUUGGCGAUUGACGUUACCCGCAGAAGAAGCACCGGCUAACUCCGUGCCAGCAGCCGCGGUAAUACGGAGGGUGCAGGCGUUAAUCGGAAUUACUGGGCGUAAAGCGCACGCAGGCGGUCUGUCAAGUCGGAUGUGAAAUCCCCGGGCUCAACCUGGGAACUGCAUUCGAAACUGGCAGGCUAGAGUCUUGUAGAGGGGGGUAGAAUUCCAGGUGUAGCGGUGAAAUGCGUAGAGAUCUGGAGGAAUACCGGUGGCGAAGGCGGCCUCCUGGACAAAGACUGACGCUCAGGUGCGAAAGCGUGGGAGCAAACAGGAUUAGAUACCCUGGUAGUCCACGCCGUAAACGAUGUCGAUUUGGAGGUUGUGCCCUUGAGGCGUGGCUUCCGGAGCUAACGCGUUAAAUCGACCGCCUGGGGAGUACGGCCGCAAGGUUAAAACUCAAAUGAAUUGACGGGGGCCCGCACAAGCGGUGGAGCAUGUGGUUUAAUUCGAUGCAACGCGAAGAACCUUACCUGGUCUUGACAUCCACAGAACUUUCCAGAGAUGGAUUGGUGCCUUCGGGAACUGUGAGACAGGUGCUGCAUGGCUGUCGUCAGCUCGUGUUGUGAAAUGUUGGGUUAAGUCCCGCAACGAGCGCAACCCUUAUCCUUUGUUGCCAGCGGUCCGGCCGGGAACUCAAAGGAGACUGCCAGUGAUAAACUGGAGGAAGGCGGGGAUGACGUCAAGUCAUCAUGGCCCUUACGACCAGGGCUACACACGUGCUACAAUGGCAUAUACAAAGAGAAGCGACCUCGCGAGAGCAAGCGGACCUCAUAAAGUAUGUCGUAGUCCGGAU
rnacentral:rRNA from 1 species